rnacentral:tRNA from 1 species
GCAGGCAUAGUUUCAAAUCAAAACAUUAGACUGUGAUUCUAAAAACAGAAGUUAAACUCUUCUUGCCCGCC